rnacentral:sRNA from 1 species
AUGCUGAGCCCGUGUCCACACUACAUUGGGCAUCAAUAUGGUGACCUCCAGGGAGUGGGGGUCUUCCAGGUUGCCUAGGCAGGGUGAACCUGCCCAGGUCGGAAACAGAGGAGGUCAAAACUCCAGUGCUGAUCAGUAGUGGGAUCACGCCUGUGAAU